rnacentral:tRNA from 1 species
GGGCACAUGGUCUAGUGGUAUGAUAUUCGCUUUGCACUGACGCCUAGAGUGUCUACAAUUGUAUCUGCGAAGGGUCCGGGGUUCAAUUCCCUGUGUGUCCA